rnacentral:lncRNA from 1 species
AUGGACUUGGAAGUCUAUUUAAUAUUCGCAUGACAGAUUGUUCAUGGAGGGUUAGCAUACUUGAUUGGUGUAGAGGUUUUUACACUCUAAUAAAAUGCCAAGUUUUUUGCCCUUUUCUUUUUCUCGCUAUGUCCCAAGUCGUGUUAGUUGUUCUAGCUGUGAUGAAGCAUUGACCUGUAAGAAGAACCUUUAUUACUUGGUUUCUUCUAUGAAAUGUACUUGAUACGCUUGGCUUCUGAGUUUGAAUGCAUGAGCUUUGCAUGAUUAGCAUGUAAAGUUUCAUAUCUUUUAGAACACAGUCGAUCUUAACAUGAUAAAAUGUGCCAUUAUACAAGACAAAUGAUUUGUAUUGGUGGCUGUUAUCGAUGUUGGGAUUCUUAAAGUGGCUUGGAGAAUUUUCUCUGAUAACCUUUUUUGUCUUUAGUGAAUUCUCUUUCGAAUGUUUUGUAAUAUUCUCGCUAUGUUAUUAGUCAAGUUGGUGAUUCCAGCAGUGAUGAAGCAGUAAUGUGUUAGGAGAACCUUUGUUGGUUUCUUCGAGGAAAUAUAAUUGUACGCUUGGCUUCUGAGCUCAAAUACUUUUGACUUCUUUUUAAAUUGUUUUGUAAUAUUCUAACUAUGUUAUUAGUCAUGUUGGUAAUUCCAGCAGUGAUGAAGCAGUAAUGUGUUAGAAGAACCUUUGUUGGUUUCUUCAAGGAAAUAUAAUUAUACGCUUGGCUUCUGAGCUCAAAUACUUUUGACUUCUUUUUAAAUUGUUUUGUAAUAUUCUAACUAUGUUAUUAGUCAUGUUGGUAAUUCCAGCAGUGAUGAAGCAUUAAUGUGUUAGGAGAACCUUCAUUUGGUUUCUUCGAGGACAUAUACUUGUACGCUUGGCUUCUGAGCUCAAAUGCUUGAACUUGCUUGUUGCAUAGUUUCAUUUCCUUAAAAUUUUAUUCAAAUGAUCUCAACAUGAUGUACUUAGGUUUUGACUCCUGAAAGGGAAAACACUUAGAAGACAAUUGUAUGUGGAUUGGUUGCUUAUGUGCUUGUGUUGGAUGUUGUUAGGCC